UACGUAGGGUGCGAGCGUUGUCCGGAAUUAUUGGGCGUAAAGAGCUUGUAGGCGGUUUGUCGCGUCUGCUGUGAAAAUCCGAGGCUCAACCUCGGACUUGCAGUGGAUACGGGCAGACUAGAGGCAGGUAGGGGAGAAUGGAAUUCCCGGUGUAGCGGUGAAAUGCGCAGAUAUCGGGAGGAACACCGGUGGCGAAGGCGGUUCUGCUGGGCCUGACCUGACGCUGAGGAGCGAAGCGUGGGGAGCGAACAGG
rnacentral:rRNA from 1 species